UUUUGAGAGCUUCUUUCUCUACCCUUUUCUUCUUCUAGGGUUUCCUCUUUGAGCGCCGUUGGGGGUGGGGGAAGGGGGCUCCAGCCUCCGGCCGCCUCUCUCCUCCUCUCUACCCCCUUUUCUCUUCCAUUUUCCUCUGCCAUUUUCUGGUCAAUAAGCUUUGGAAGCUUUGCUUUCCAUCUUCUCCCUCCUUGUGAGGUGUGUUUCCCCUUUUGGUGGGUGCACAGUCUGUCUUUCUCCAAUCUUCCUUCACUCUGCCUCACUCCAGUCGUAGCCCUCCCCAGACCCGCCGUCUACCUCCUAUGUGCUUCACGCCGGCGUCGCCAACACCACAUCGACCCCAACUCUGCCUGUAACACCCCGUAUUUUGAGGUGUGUAGCAGAUUUUAGCGAAGAUCAAAAUUGAGAUAUGAAAGAUUUAUUAAUAUAGAGAUUUGGGACCCGCCACUGUAAUUAUUAAAUUUGGAGAUAGUUUUAAUAUUGUUUAUUUUGGAGGUACUUAGAAUAUUUGAAGGAUAUUGUACUAUUUGGAGACGAUUUUAUAAUUAUUAUUUUUGGGAAAAAAACUUGUAUUUUUUUUAAA